UUCGUCAGACCUUGGUAUAGG
rnacentral:miRNA from 1 species